GGCUGUAGCUCAGUGAAAGAGCAUCUGCUUUGCAUGCAGAAGGUUGCCGGUUCAGUCUCAGAGGGCAUCUCCUGGCAGAGCCG